GGAGGAUCCGAGCGUUAUCCGGAUUUAUUGGGUUUAAAGGGAGCGUAGGUGGAUUGUUAAGUCAGUUGUGAAAGUUUGCGGCUCAACCGUAAAAUUGCAGUUGAAACUGGCAGUCUUGAGUACAGUAGAGGUGGGCGGAAUUCGUGGUGUAGCGGUGAAAUGCUUAGAUAUCACGAAGAACUCCGAUUGCGAAGGCAGCUCACUAGACUGUUACUGACACUGAUGCUCGAAAGUGUGGGUAUCAAACAGGAUUAGAUACCCUGGUAGUCCACACAGUAAACGAUGAAUACUCGCUGUUUGCGAUAUACAGUAAGCGGCCAAGCGAAAGCAUUAAGUAUUCCACCUGGGGAGUACGCCGGCAACGGUG
rnacentral:rRNA from 1 species